rnacentral:lncRNA from 1 species
GGUCAUCUAGUCCAACCCCCUGCUCAAAGCAGGACCAACCCCAACUGAAUCCUCCCAACCAGGGCUUUGUCAAGCCGGGCCUUAAAAACCUCUAAGGAAGGAGAUGCCACCACCUCCCUAGGUAACCCAUUCCAGUGCUUCAGCACCCUCCCUAGUGAAAUAGUUUUUCCUAAUAUCCAACCUAGACCUCCCCCACUGCAAGUUGAGACCCUUGCUCCUUGUUCUGUCAUCUGCCACCAUUGAGAACAGCCUAGCUCCAUCCUCUUUGAACCCCCCUUCAGGUAGUUGAAGGCGGCUAUCAAAUCCACACUCACUCUUCUCUUUUGCAGAUUAAAUAAGCCCAGUUCCCUCAACCUUUCCUCAUAAGUCAUGUGCCCCAGCCCCCUAAUAAUUUUUGCUGCCCUCCGCCGGACUCUCUCCAAUUUGUCCACGAAUUUUACUCUGUAGCAUGAGCCCAGGUCAGUUGAUUUGGCCUCUGAGACACACGGCUGUGGAUCAUUUUUUUGCACUGUAGACAUGCUCUCUGUUUUGUAAUUCCUCAUACAUCUCCUGUGAAGUUGUGAUUCCUUACAAUUCAUUUCUUUAUUUGAGGAAAACUCAGGUUGGGGCAAUGAUUUACAUUCUUAUUAUUAGAAUAACAAUUAACUCAAUUGAAAAACGAAUCACACUCAUUUCUACCACUUCUUCCCAUAUUCUAGUCUUGCUUCUUCCUGGUAUGUGACCAACACCAAGAGUUGGAUGAAAGAGAACCAUCAGAGGCUCAGUGAAGGCAAGAUUAAUGGAAUGCUGAAUGGCUUUGGUCUCAAGAAAACAGCUGCUCACCAACUCUUAAUAUUUUCAAAAAGAGUAGAACACUAAGGUAUUGUGAGAACAUCUAGCAGAAAGAGAACUGCAUACAGGAAGGAAAAAAGAAGAGAACAGAUUUUUAAACUUGUGAUCAAUUUCUGCCAGAGAAAGGUAAAAACACUUACACCUGAUUAAUACUUUGCUAUAGUUUACUGGACUAAAAUUGGGGCUCUGGCUACAAGAUGCAUUUAGAAAUAAAACAAACAGAACCUCCUCUCACCCCACAGAACUAGCAGAAGAUUUGAGACAGUUUGUUUGCUUGACAGGCAAAUGUUAUUAGCUAAAAACUCUUUAGCUAAAUCUGCUUCUAUGGCCCCAAAUGUUUAAAAGGUAUCAUGGAUUAAAGCCAUGAAAAUAAAUUAAAAAGAAUUUCAAUUUGAAAUUUUAUUAGCAUGUUGCUAGAAUGGCCAACAUCGAUCAACAGGAGAGACUUUUUGUCCACAUACUUUGUAAAUCUCUUCCACACAUACCGCUCUUUGCUUCCCC